CUCACACUGCAAGGGGGGGGGGUCGAAGUGCUAGGUGACCAGCCUUUAUAUGGCGCUUCCCUGGAUGAGCCAAGAGUUAAGUGACUAUGAUUGGAAUUCCCUGUGAGGCCCCUGCACGUCUCGGGGACUGGCCCCAGACACCUCCGCCAGGCCCCUACUCACG